AGAGAUAAAAGAUCCUGUCUACCAUACCUAUGACCGUACCCCUCUUCUGUGAGAUGGGAUGCCGAGACAUAAAAAUUCAAGUAUCUACCCGAGAAUAUUGAUUUGUAGUACCAAUCGAAUAUAAUAGUAUUAUUUUCAAUGAAAAGAGAUGUAAAUCUAAGAAGUUAAUCUGGCUACCACCAAUUUCCGAAGUAAAUUGUGAUCUCGAGUGUAUUGAAUUAAACUUCCUUGUCAUGGACGUAAUCAUCUGGUACUGCCAUUAAAAUAUCGUCCACAUAUCUAUAGAAAAAAGGUUAGAUUGCCGAGAUAAUUGCAACAGACAAGAAUGAUCAUGGUUCAACUACGUCGUAUGGAAAAACGACAAAUUUUUAUUGAAAAUAAAACCAAUGAAAAUGCGAAAAUCAUUAAACGAUUAUUGCGACAAUCUGUAAUAAAAAGAUCAGUGAAAUCACCAGGAAUUUUAUUUACAACUGUAGACGAUUUCUUGGCCUUCGAAGAAGUUGAUGAAAUUUAUAAUAAUUUGGUAAUAAUUUUUUUUAAAUAUAAAUAUUUUCUUAU